GGGGAUAUAGCUCAGUUGGUAGAGUGCUUGCCUCUUGUGUAUAGUGCCCUGGGUUCAAACCCCAGGAUCACAA
rnacentral:tRNA from 1 species